rnacentral:lncRNA from 1 species
UGUGUCAUUUUAUUACAGUGCAAUAAGUGAGGUGAUGAGCUUUGUGCAGAUUUUAUGGAAUUAAAGAAAGAGGUCAGGAAAGCUUUUAGGAACUGUAGAGACAGUGCCUAAAUUGUGUUUGAAGUUUGUCCCGAAUCAGCAGAUGAGAGAGGAGAGAGAAGAGUGGAAAGAAAUCUAGGUCAAUUAUCUUCCUAUUUCAAUUCAAAAGCAUAAAGGAGACUUAAAACACAAAAGAAAAAAAUGAGAGGAAUUAAACUUCAGAAAAGUAAAAUACACAAUCGUCCACGGCUUAUGUCCAUGUGAGAAGAAUGGAUAUGGGUUCAGCUAAAGGAAACUGUGAACUAUGGAAGAAAAAAAUCCUAUGCAUUUGUCAUCCUGGGUUUUCCCAAGUAAAAGGGGUCAAAUAGCCACCUUUGGGAUGCAUCCAAUAGUCCCAUGUCCAUAGAGAGACCCAAGUGGUAAUAGCAACCAACCAUUUAAGAGGCAGAGGAAAGUGGCAAAAUGUGAAGCUCUAUGAUGGAAGGUAAGUUUUCAUUCU